UACGUAGGGUGCAAGCGUUAAUCGGAAUUACUGGGCGUAAAGCGUGCGCAGGCGGUUUUGUAAGUCUGUCGUGAAAUCCCCGGGCUCAACCUGGGAAUUGCGAUGGAGACUGCAAGGCUAGAAUCUGGCAGAGGGGGGUAGAAUUCCACGUGUAGCAGUGAAAUGCGUAGAUAUCAGGAGGAACACCGGUGGCGAAGGCGCACAUCUGGCCCGAUACUGACGCUGAGGCGCGAAAGCUAGGGGAGCAAACGGG
rnacentral:rRNA from 1 species